rnacentral:other from 1 species
AAUUGUCUAUUGUGUUUGUAGUUGACUAUAUCCCCUGAGCCGAUAAAUAAACAUAUAAGGAGAUGAGAUAGCUUACUAUUGAGCAAGCCCGCCUAGAAGUGGGAAGCCUGCGGUAAUCUUCGAACUUCCGCCUUGAGCCUUUUUGGUUCAGGUUUCUUUCAGCGCGGCACAAUGGAUCCUUC